CUUAGUAUUAGAUAUAUAUACCUAUCUAAAUAAUAAAUGACAGUGAAAGAAAUGAAGUUUUCACCCCCGUCCU
rnacentral:tRNA from 1 species